UGGAUCAGGAGUCGUUGUACAAAAGAAAGAAUCUGUGAUAAAUUCAUUAUUCAUUUCAUUUAAAGAAAAAUCUCUAGAAAAGGUUCCCUUCAUCUGGCUUGCUUCUGUUUGAUUCAUCGGUUUACCAUCAGAAUAAUAGUAUUCUACCGGCUCAAAGAAAUGGGAUCCAAGGUUUGAGCCGACGCCCUUUCCUUGCUCAAACCUUUCAUUGUCGUUAGAGGAAAUACUUUCAGAUCCGGUGUUUACUGGUAUCGACUCCUGCUUUUUGUUCACAUUCAUAAGGCCUAUAAGGUUUCUCACGAUUCUCAAAAAGCAAAAUUCUGUUCAA